GUCAUCACUCAAUUUUAUUCCUUCUUUUCAGGUGAGGGUCAAGUCUGGUGUCGCAGGUGAAGGUUUUUGAAGGUUCCCCUAAUGACGUACGUCUUUUGUGUGGGAGGAUCGUCUCUUUGCGGAUCAAGAUGAGUUGUGGGCCGCGUCGGAAGCAGUAUGUUACGGCUCGUACCCCGGAGCUGCAGAAAUAAGAUGUCGUAAUCUGCGUCCGAUAAGUCUCUGGGAGCGAUGGACGCCAUUGCAUGGAGAGAGAGAGAGAGAGAGAGAGAGAGAAGGAAAAAAUAACAGGUUUGAUUUAGUACGGUCAGUAAAUCAUGGUCUUUGAAUUAUCAGGAAGCAGGUGGUGUGCUUUGUAAUGGCCGGAAGUAUAUACUUUUUUUUCCCCACGGUGCCGAAAUGGC